AACAGGAUUAGAGACCCUGGUAGUCCUACCUGUAAACGUUGUAUACUAGGUGGUGGAAGUUUAAUAUCUUUCUCUGCCGGAGUUAACGCAUUAAGUAUACCGCCUGGGGAGUAUGCCGGCAACGGUGAAACUCAAAGGAAUUGACGGGGCCCCGCACAAGCAGUGGAGCAUGUUGAUUAAUUCGAUGAUACGCGAGGAACCUUACCAGGUCUUGACAUAUAUCUGACGCACAUAGAGAUAUGUGCUCUCUUUUGAGCAGAUAUACAGGUGCUGCAUGGUUGUCGUCAGCUCGUGCCGUGAGGUGUUGGGUUAAGUCCCGCAACGAGCGCAACCCCUAUUCUUUGUUGCUAACGGGUAAUGCUGAGCACUCGAAGGAAACUGCCGGUGACAAACCGGAGGAAGGUGGGGAUGAGGUCAAAUCAUCACGGCCCUUAUGACCUGGGCUUCAAACGUGCUACAAUGGGUGGUACAAAGAGUAGCCAACCUGUGAAGGGGAGCCAAUCUCAAAAAGCCACCCCAAGUUCGGAUUGGAGUCUGCAACUCGACUCCAUGAAGUUGGAAUUGCUAGUAAUCGCACAUCACCAUGGUGCGGUGAAUAUGUUCACCGGGGCUUGUACACACCGCCCGUCACAUCACCCGAGUUGAUAUACCCGAAGUAUCCGGGCUACCCAUUUAGGGGGCAGGUCCGAAG
rnacentral:rRNA from 1 species